AUUAUGACUUAAAUCAGCUUUUGUCACAUUUUCAACUCAUCGUGAAGUCGAAGUGAGCGGAGGGAAAUUUGUCACAGGUUAAAUAGUUAGAGGUGUUGGAAAUUAUCCGCUCCACAGAAAAGGUGUGAGCCCCAAACUAAUGAUUUGGUAUGAAAAUAAAACAGCUGCGUUUCGGAGAAUACAAACAAUGGAUUGGUUAACUUGAGUCUAGGAUGGCACAAUCCCUCCAGCCCUCGCCCAUUUUGUCCCGGGUAAAAGCCAGAGGAAAAUGCUUUCCUCCGCCACUCCCGAGUCCCAUUGUCUGGUGAAUUAAGUGCAAACAUUAGCAGCAAACAAAGCCCGGUCGAGAUGAUGACGCUGGCGAAGGCGAUGAUGAGGCUGAUGAAGAUGAUGACGGCGAUGAAGACGAUGUUGGGCGGUGCUGAUAAUACCCCAUGGACUUUACACCUAGGCAAAUGGAACGUGAUAGAGCUUUUUCUCUUUCAACUGCGCUCGUGCAAAUGAUUAUCAAUCAUUUUGGGAUUAAAAUUCCUUGUGGUGUUUUGUCACACA